rnacentral:rRNA from 1 species
ACAUCGCACUGGGACCUCAUAGAUCCAGUGUCGUACCUGCCCGGUGGAAACUCUAAACGGCUGCGGUACCCUGACCGUGCAAAGGUAGCAUAAUCACUUGCCUUUUAAUUGGUGGCUAGUAUGAAAGGUUUGUCAGCACCUUAACUGUCUCUUACUAUUUUUUUCGAAUUUGACUUUUAGGUGAAGAGGCCUAAGUUGAAUAGGAGGACGAGAAGACCCUAGAGAGCUAAAACCAUUGAAAAUAAAAUAUUUUUGAUUCUGUUGAUUGGGGCGAUCAGGGAAGAAGUAAACCUUCCCUAAAUACUAAUAAAAGUACUUGAACCUCAGCUUCUGGAGAAAGAGGGAUAGCUACCUUAGGGAUAACAGCACAAUUUUUUCUGAGAGACCUCAUUGAAGAAAGAGAUUAUGACCUCGAUGUUGGACUAAGGGAGCUGGAAGGUGUAGCAGCUUUCCUGAGCGAGCCUGUUCGGCUAUGAAAUCCUUAC